UGCAGGCAACCCUGCUCUUUUCAUUGGCCCCAUGUGACGCCCACAAGGGAGCAGGCCUCGAAGGCCUUGUAAAUGAGUGUUUGCAGGGCCCCUCCCUGACUACAGCCCAUAUGUCAGGACACACACCUCCGGACUGCUAAAUGGCUGAGAAAAGGACAACCGUUUUCCGUGUUGGUACGACAUGCAGCAUUGGCCAGUCAAGGAUUGAGAUCAGUCAGAGUGACAGUUUCUGGGGAAACCCUCAAUACCUUUAAGGGGAGAUCAAGGACUCUAUUGAGUUGCAGAGAAGUUACUGAAGCCAUUCAUCCAUUUGGCCAACAGCCAUCAACGCAGGCCAAGGGUGUACAUGCCUCAUAAACAGAGAACUGGUUCCCGGAUAGCCAUGAUGGCAAAAGCAAGCCAGGCAGCUGGCUUUCCUGAGGAGGCACAUGGUGGCUCUGUCGGGGCCAUCAAAGUUGUCUCAGGGCUUCCGUCCACUGGAGACUGCUGCAAGCUGACAAUUUCAAAUCCAUUUGCAUCCACUUAGCUUUCCAGAGACCAAGGCAUUUUUCAGCUACAGCAAACAACACAUGAAUGUGAAGCUCGGAGCAGGCAGCACAGGGCAAAAAAGGAUUGGGAAGUCUCUGGGGCUGCUGCUAACUUGUCUUGAAAAAUCAAAAUGAACUUUUUUCUUCAAAGAUUCUGCUUCAAUUCAUCAUCAUUAUAAAAACACUCAAGUCCUUGAGGUCUGAGGCUGCAGUGAAUGCAUACAAAAUGGGUUUUCUGCAGGGGAAAAAACAUAUAAUAAUGUCCUAAAGCUCUUCUUUUGAGCUAUGGGCAGCAGGGAAGUCUGGUUUGAAAUCCAACCUUCACCUCCACUGAGCAAAUUUUGUUAAUUAGGAUGUGUUUGCCCUCCUUAAGGCACCUUCUUUCUCAGGAGAUUUGUAUCUGGGGAGGGCCUUUCCGAAAGGUAGAACAUCUUUAAUUAUUCAAACUGCUGGACCCUGGAGCAUGAUAUCCCCUUUGCCAGCUGUCAUUGGCACCCCAAAAGUAACACAGACUUCAUUAGUGUAUCAUGGAAACUCUAUUAUAGAUGGGGGCUGGGGGUUGUUAACCUGGUUUAUUAGUGUAACACUUCAGGUCCAUAUGGUAAAAGGGCUUCUGUGGGCUGGGCUGAGACUCACCAGGCAUGAUAGUGUUUCUUAGGAAAGUAAGUUCUGAUUUCCAAGUGGCUGCCUUUGAAUCUGGAAUGCAAGCCAUUUCUAAGAAGGAAAAUGCCCUGAAAUAUUAGAUGCAUGUUUUUUCCCAUUAUUUCAGAGGUGAGGAAUGCAGUUAUCUUGAACUUCCUUUAGAUAGAUGGUUUCCUUUUCUCCUUCUCCCCCUUCUUCCUCUUUCCCCACCUCCAUGCCAUUUUAUGAGCUGAUAAACCAUUAGUAGUUAACAUGGACUUCUCAGAAGGCAGUCAAGGAUAAACUUUGCCAGAAAGGGCUGAUUCAGGUGGGGUUACAUGACAGGCUCUGUAGUCCCGAGGGACACUUUUCCAGACUUGAGCAUAAUAUGAAUUCAGGGAGGCAAGAAAGAAGAGUCACAAGAUGAGCCCUCAGGACAUCCUUGCAUAAACCCCCAAAGUCAGGGGCUUAAGAAAGAGAUGUGAGGAAGAAGAUAAGAUCCAGAAGCAAAGAAAUUUGUUAGAGACAGACUGGCAAAGACAGAAGACCAUAGCAAGGACAAUUCUGAGUCCAGCAGUGGACCAGGUACAAUGACAGCCAGCUCUCCCUACCCAUGGGUUCCAUAUCAGUGGCUCCCACCAUCCAUGGACAGAGAAUACUCAGCAAAAAUAUUACAUCUCUACUGAAUGUGUACAGACUUCUAUUCUUUAUCAUUAUUUGCUAAAUAAUAUAAUAGAAAAACUCUCUACAUAGCACUUACAUUGUAUUAGGGUAGAAGUAAUCUAGAGAUAAUUUAAAGCAUACAAGAGAAUGUACAUAGACUAUAUGAAAAUACUAUUCCAUUUUAUAUUGGGACUUCAGCAUUUGCAGAUUUUGGUAUCUUCAGGGAUCGUAGAGCCUGUUCCCCAUAGAUACCAAGGGGUGACUAUACUUGAUGAGUUUUGGAUAGGCCCAAGUGAAAAGCAAACAUAGAUUAUGAACAACUCCUUUCACAGUGAAAAUCAAAAGGCUACUCUCCUUCCUCCAGAGGACAAUGAAUUCCCCCCCCUUAGAGCCAAGUGGUGCAAGCUUGGUAGCCCCUUCCUAGGUCUACUGGAGAGAAGGUAGCAGUCAGGCCAAGAUCCAGUAUGCCCUGGAACUCCCUGCUAGAGGUGCUCAUGACACCUUCCCUCCAUGAAAUGUGGUCAAUGUCAGAAUAGACAAGUAGGGAGAGAAACACCUCACUUCCAUCCUGGUAUGCAGAGGCCAUACUGAAAACCACUAGCAAUCUCAGCAACACAGCACUGGCCCAACCGAUGGAUAUGAUCACAGGCAUAGCCAGCCUCACACAAGGCCCACAGGCUAAAGACCACCUCUGCAUAGCUGUGUCAGUCAGUAAAGCAUCUUUCAAGAUUAAACAAGAAAAUACAUUAGUGAAGGAUGUAUGAUGCCUUCGUAUAAGACUUUACAUUCAAUCAUUAUUAUAAUCUUGUGUAGGACACACUUUCUAAGCAUGAGACCUGUGCAGUGAUAUGGGACACCACAAACCUAAAGGGACCCCACUUGUGGCUAAUGCUCUGCUAUCACUUUCCCGAUAUUCUUUAUUUCAGAACAAAGAGCCUGCAUUUUCUUUUCUUUUCUUUUUUGGGGCAGAGGGAGUACUGGAGAUCGAACUCAGGACCUUGCACUUGGGAGUCAGGUGCAGUGCCACUGAGCUAAAUCCCUAGCCCUGCAUUUUCAUUUUGUAUUGGAGUCUACAAAAUAUGUUGUUGGUCCUUGUCCAAUGGGGGAAAAAACACAGGUGUUACCAACUGCCCCAUUUACAGAUCCAGAAAAAGAGGAUUAAGCAGGUUAAACGGCUUCCCUAGGCUCACCUCACUAGUAAGCAGCUAACUCCAGCUCCAGACCUCACACUUCCUGUGUUAGAUAGCUUUGUGCCACUGGGACAAAAUGCCCGAACAAAAAACAACUUAACAGAGGAAAAAUCUAUGUUGACUCAUGGUUUCAGAGGUCUCAGUUCAUGGUCACUUGGCUGCCCCCAACAGGAGCUGUCCAAACUGGGCCAGACUGGACCAAGCUGGGCCAGUCAGAUUUUCUUUCCCGGGAAUCUGGAAUUGGCAUCCAGCCAACAAGGGGCAAAAGAAACAGCUGGAGCAGUUGUUGAAACAGAGGAAGGGUAGAUUCGGGCAUAGGACAGUCAUGUAAUAACAUUUGCAUCUCCUAUCCUUUCUCCCCACACUCCAAAUUUAUGACUCCCAGAAACAUAGCUAGAGGAAAAGGUCAGGGUCUACCAUAUUGCCAGGAGAUAAUAAUCCAGACAUUUUAGGGGAAACUUCCUUAUGUGAUCUCACUUGUGGCUGAAAACCUACCAGACCUGCUGGUCAUGGGAGUUACAUGAGGAUGGACAGCUGUGAUUGCUAACAUUUCUUAUUCAUGCUGCUACUAUUGUUUAAUCUGUAUAAAUAUAUGUAGCACUUCCUAUAUUCCAGAUACUAAUCUAAGUGCUUUACAUAUAUCAAUUCAUUUAAUUUUCCUAAAAGCCUAUAAAAUAGGUAUUACUAUCAUCAUUCCUGGUCUAUAAGUAAAGAAGCUAAGGCACAAAGAAGUUAUGUACCCCACCCAAAAUCACACAGCUCAUAUGUGGUAGAGCCAGGCUUUGAACUCAACAGCCUGACUGCAAGCAAAGUCUGAAUUCUUAACAUUCACCAACUACCUCUCGAAAUAUUAUCCUGGCUGGUCUGAAAUAAAUAACAUGCAAUUUCCACUUCUCAGUUUAAUUUUACCUAAUCACAAUGCAAUGUUUUAAAAAUGUUGCUUAUUUAGAAUCAAAAAAGCCUCUGAGCAGUCAAAAUAAAAUGACAAUGCAAAAGCAUGAGCACUCAGUCCCUAAGAUUUUCACUCAACCCUCAUUUACUCACAUUCUCUCUCCCUCUCCUCUUCUUCUUUUUACAUGUAAAAAAGAAUCUAGGGUAGAGUUUCACCUAGGAUAUGGACCAUUAUCUGUAUCCAAAUGAUCCAAAAUGUAUCACUUCCUCUCAGGUACAGCUUUCAAUCUGUCCACUUGGGGUUCUGCAUAUCCGCAAUUUUGAUCCCAAGGAAGGAUCACACUACAGGGUCUUACCCUUUCCUACCAGCUGGUGUGUGCUCAGAACAUGCACAACUGGAGCCAAUAUACACAGGACUGUAGAAAUGGGCCCAAAGAACCACCCCAUGGGACUCUCAAAGUCAAAUAUAGAAAGUCAUUGGGGUCCUCUCUUCAGUUUGCCUUCUGCUAAGGGAAAGGAGUCAAACGCAUUCGGAACUCUCCGUCCCUUGUCUUGUAACCAUCCUCUUUCUCACUGAGCCCCUUUAGACUUUAGAUUCUCUAUUGAAUGCUUCACUCUUUCUUAAUUUUUGCUUUUUAAUCUAGCUAACUCUGGUGUAAUAUCAUCUUUGUUUUUAAAUACCUUGUUCUUAAAAGGCCUACAAUACGGUAUGUAUACAUAUAAACUUCCCUUAGUGAAUGUAUCCAUUAUCUAUAGCAAACAUGUACUAAUAAAAUAGUAAAAUAAGUAUAUAAAUACUUCCUUCUUAGUAAAGUGUAAAUUCUACCAUAUGUAAUAUAGUUCAUUCAGUAAAUAUUUUGAUCUAUGUAUUCUGUAUUUUAUUAUUAUGUACAGUAAAUAUAUUUAAUAAAAUUCUUUAAUUCAUAAAAUAGAUUCCUUACCCAAACUGCUAAUAGAGUUGUGAUUUGGGUUCUCCAGAAAAUGGUCAUGGUGUUGGUUCUCCCCUGUCAGCAUCUCACUCUUAGCAGAUGCUUUAAAAUAUUCUUAUUUGAAUUGACUUGCUAGGCUAGGUAGCUUUCAAGAACUGGGUGUGUGUAGUUUCAGUCCAUCUGUCUACUCAGCAAGGUCUUGGCAGCACUAACUCUUCCUUUACACCUAACACAUAUUUAUUAUUCUUUACACUUCUUUCCUUAAAUUCUGAAAUCUUUUUUUUUUUUUUGGUACUGGGGAUUGAACCCGGGUCCUUGAGCUUGCUAGGCAGGUGGUGAAACCACUGAGCUAAAUCCCCAGCCCCUUCUGAAAUCUUAAUUACUGGCAAUACCACCCUGAAUGACUCCUGCCAUCAGCACUGGAA